AGGAACAAAUUAAAUCCUGCAACCAGUGAAUCCAUGAUACAAAUUUUGUUCGCAAAGCUAGAUUAAUCACAUGACAAAAAUGAUUUUUCCCUCACCAUGAGAUUCAAAGAACCAUCAAAUUUGGAGUUCUUAUGAGGGAGAAAUAUCAAUUACAAAUUUUAUUUCUAGAUUAAAAAGAAAAAAAUGAAUCAUCCGUGUGUUCUUCAUCUUCUCCUUAGCGUUGCUACAUGGCGGAACGGGAUUGGUCCAAAUGGUUGUCCCCAGCCAAUAGCCC
rnacentral:lncRNA from 1 species